UACGGAGGGUGCGAGCGUUGUCCGGAAUCAUUGGGCGUAAAGGGCGCGUAGGUGGCCUGUGCAAGCGUGCGGUGAAAGCUCGGGGCUCAACCCCGAGUCGGCCGUGCGAACUGCUGGGCUCGAGCACUGUAGAGGCAGGCGGAAUUCCGGGUGUAGCGGUGGAAUGCGUAGAGGUCCGGAAGAACACCGGUGGCGAAGGCGGCCUGCUGGGCAGUGGCUGACACUGAGGCGCGACAGCGUGGGGAGCAAACAGG
rnacentral:rRNA from 1 species